AGCUUUAACACCCAACCAGGAACUCCUAACCGUGAUGUAGCCUUACGUCCCCGCUAGUUCUCAAGAACAUCAUUAAAGCGACAUCAUCAGCUGAAGAGUCGGCUUACUGCAGUCAAGAUUAACUCACUGGCUUCACAGUUCUGUAUAAGUGCUGUGCUGGGACCCUACUGAUAACUGACGGAUGGAUGGACACCUGGAAUCCUAGCAACAGGAUAAACCAAAUGCUGCCCUUGGGCGGGGCCUGUCCAAAGCCCACCCGCCCUUCCUGAGAUGGCCAAUCAGGAUCGGCACAGCUCUCAUUGAAUGCCACACACACAUGUACAUAUGUGCCCUACUGUUCUUUUCUGCUGCGGUCCUUGCGUUGUGCACAGUCAAAAGUGAACAGUCAUAUACAAUGAUCAGUUUUGCAGUGAUCUGUUAAUAUUACAAAAGAUGUGCACUAUGACAGACCUGUGUGGAAUAUAUUGAAAAGGAUAAUUAUACAGGUUGAAGUUGACAGCUUUAAAAAAAAAAUUAAAAAAAACCCUGUCCAUGCCGUCUCUUUGUGUUGUCC